CAAAAGGGCAUUCGGCGUUACUGCCGUGCGCCGCGUUCAGUGCGGUGUACAGAAUCGCCAUCAAGAGAUUCUGAAUGCGUAAUUUUUAGAAAAGGGGCUGUUGGAUGUCGCUCGCACCGGCGCCCCA